GAUAAGAACGUAGCGAAAUGCGAUACUUGGUGUGAAUUGCAGAAUCCCGUGAACCAUCGAGUCUUUGAACGCAAGUUGCGCCCGAAGCCACUAGGCCGAGGGCACGCCUGCCUGGGCGUCACACGCCGUUGCCCCCCCAUCUACUCCUUCGGGAUUGCGGGGGGGCGGAUGAUGGCCUCCUGUGCGCCUAGCCGCGCGGUUGGCAUAAAUACCAAGUCCUCGGCGACGCACGCCACGACAAUCGGUGGUUGCGAAACCUCGGUUGCCCGUCGUGUGCGUUCGUCGCGCAUCGAGGGCUCGAAAAAAUGCUCGGCUCCGGCUGGGCUUUCAACGCGACCCCAGGUCAGGCGGGGUUACCCGCUGAAUUUAAGCAUAUCAAUAAGCGGAGGA
rnacentral:misc_RNA from 1 species